rnacentral:rRNA from 1 species
UACGGGAGGCAGCAGUGAGGAGUAUUGGUCAAUGGGCGCAAGCCUGAACCAGCCAUGCCGCGUGCAGGAAGACGGUCCUAUGGAUUGUAAACUGCUUUUAUACUGGAAGAAACACCUCCACGUGUGGAGGCUUGACGGUACUGUAGGAAUAAGGAUCGGCUAACUCCGUGCCAGCAGCCGCGGUAAUACGGAGGAUCCAAGCGUUAUCCGGAAUCAUUGGGUUUAAAGGGUCCGUAGGCGGUCUUAUAAGUCAGUGGUGAAAGCCCAUCGCUCAACGAUGGAACUGCCAUUGAUACUGUAGGACUUGAAUGCUUGUGAAGUAACUAGAAUAUGUAGUGUAGCGGUGAAAUGCUUAGAUAUUACAUGGAAUACCAAUUGCGAAGGCAGGUUACUAACAAGUUAUUGACGCUGAUGGACGAAAGCGUGGGGAGCGAACAGGAUUAGAUACCCUGGUAGUCCACGCCGUAAACGAUGGAUACUAGCUGUUCGGAGCAAUCUGAGUGGCUAAGCGAAAGUGAUAAGUAUCCCACCUGGGGAGUACGCACGCAAGUGUGAAACUCAAAGGAAUUGACGG